UGCAGAGAGAGACCAGCUACAGACCAGAUACAACAACCUGACUGAAGAGAGAGACCAGCUACAGACCAGAUACAACACCCUGACCAAAGAGAGCUACCAGCUACAGAAAGAGAUAGUACYUCUGAAACAAUCUACAGUUGAGAAAGUGUGUCCGCGAGGUUGGAAGAAGCUUGGUAGCAGUUGUUACUACGUCUCUACUGAGUACAAAUCCUGGGAGGAGAGCAGACAGGACUGCAGAUAUAGAGGAGCAGACCUGGUGGUUAUCAAGAGCCAAGAACAACAGACAUUAGUCAACUGGUUUAUGUGGAGUGUAUGACUAUGUCUGGAUUGGUCUGACUGACUCUGUUACUGAGGGGACCUGGAAAUGGGUGGACGACACACGACUGACCACAACGUAUUGGAACAGUGGAGAGCCUAAAUGGUGGAAGAGCUGAGAACUGUGUGUAUUUCUACUCCUCGUCAUCAGACACCGGAGCUUGGUGGGACUAUUACUGUUACUAUAAAUACAGAUGGAUCUGUGAGAAAUAGGAUUCAUCCUCUGUACUCUCUAAACUGCUAAAUAAGAUUUUGCUAAGUACUAUCAAUGAGAAACUAUUUUCUGCUUAUUCAAUAUACUUGUAAGUCAUACAAUAUAA